GUUGAUUCUGCCGGGCCCGACUGCUAUCAGAGUGGGACUAAGCCAUGCGAGUCAACAUAGCAAUAUGUGGCAUACGGCUCAGUAACACGUAGUCAACAUGCCCAGGGGACGUGGAUAACCUCGGGAAACUGAGGAUAAACCGCGAUAAGUCACUACUUCUGGAAUGGGUAAUGACUUAAAUCUAUAUGGCCCCUGGAUUGGACUGCGGCCGAUCAGGCUGUUGGUGAGGUAAUGGCCCACCAAACCUGUAACCGGUACGGGCUCUGAGAGGAGGAGCCCGGAGAUGGGCACUGAGACAAGGGCCCAGGCCCUAUGGGGCGCAGCAGGCGCGAAACCUCUGCAAUAGGCGAAAGCCUGACAGGGUUACUCUGAGUGAUUUCCGUUAAGGAGAUCUUUUGGCAUCUCUAAAAAUGGUGCAGAAUAAGGGGUGGCAAGUCUGGUGUCAGCCGCCGCGGUAAUACCAGCACCCCGAGUGGUCGGGACGUUUAUUGGGCCUAAAGCAUCCGUAGCCGGUUCUACAAGUCUUCCGUUAAAUCCAACUGCUUAACAGGUGGGCUGCGGAAGAUACUAUAGAGCUAGGAGGCGGAAGAGGCAAGCGGUACUCGAUGGGUAGGGGUAAAAUCCGUUGAUCCAUUGAAGACCACCAGUGGCGAAGGCGGCUUGCCAGAACGCGCUCGACGGUGAGGGAUGAAAGCUGGGGGAGCAAACCGGAUUAGAUACCCGGGUAGUCCCAGCUGUAAACGAUGCAGACUCGGUGAUGAGUUGGCUAUAUGCCAACUCAGUGCCGCAGGGAAGCCGUUAAGUUUGCCGCCUGGGGAGUACGGUCGCAAGACUGAAACUUAAAGGAAUUGGCGGGGGAGCACCACAAGGGGUGAAGCCUGCGGUUCAAUUGGAGUCAACGCCGG
rnacentral:rRNA from 1 species